rnacentral:rRNA from 1 species
CCUACGGGAGGCAGCAGUGGGGAAUUUUCCGCAAUGGGCGAAAGCCUGACGGAGCAAUACCGCGUGAGGGAGGAAGGCUCUUGGGUCGUAAACCUCUUUUCUCAGGGAAGAAAAAAUGACGGUACCUGAGGAAUAAGCAUCGGCUAACUCCGUGCCAGCAGCCGCGGUAAUACGGAGGAUGCAAGCGUUAUCCGGAAUGAUUGGGCGUAAAGCGUCCGCAGGUGGCGAUGAAAGUCUGCUGUUAAAGAGUCUAGCUCAACUAGAUAAGAGCAGUGGAAACUACAUAGCUAGAGUACGUUCGGGGCAGAGGGAAUUCCUGGUGUAGCGGUGAAAUGCGUAGAGAUCAGGAAGAACACCGGUGGCGAAGGCGCUCUGCUAGGCCGUAACUGACACUGAGGGACGAAAGCUAGGGGAGCGAAUGGGAUUAGAUACCCCAGUAGUCCUAGCCGUAAACGAUGGAUACUAGGCGUGGCUUGUAUCGACCCGAGCCGUGCCGUAGCUAACGCGUUAAGUAUCCCGCNGGNGUACGCCGCGACGAGAACGUACGAAGAAGUAGUAACGGCGUGAGAGUGCCGACGGACGACGACGAGGGAGGAGG